AAAAAAAUGAUAUAUAAGUAUUACUUGUAAAUAUAUAAGUAUAUAAAGAAACUAUUAUGGAAUUUAAGCUAUGUAUUAAAGAGAAUUAUUUAUAUAUAUAGAGAUAUAAUAUCCUAUAAUUAUAUGAACUCUAAGAGAAAUCUAAUAUUAAACGAAGUGAAUUGAAAUAUCUUAGUAACUUCAGGAAAAGAAAUCAAAAGAGAUUCUAUGAAUAGCGUGAGCGAAAGUAGAGUAGCCUAUAAAGUAGAACGGUAUCAAAACUGUUUAAAUAUAAUGGGGAACCUUCCUCAAAGGCUAAAUAUAAUACAUAAGCGAUAGUGAAAAGUACCAUGAGGGAACAAAAACAAAAAUAGUAGUUUUAUAAGCAGUUCGAUAAAAAGAACGUACCUUUUGCAUAAUGGGUCACCAAGUUAACGUUAGAUGCGAGUAUACGCGUAGUUAAACCGAACGUUAAAAUAACGAAAUAGUGUCUAAAGUUAGACCCGAAGCACGGUGAUUUUACCAUGGUCAGGAUUAUAAAAGUCCGAACGGGUGAUUGUAGCAAAAAUCUCCGAAGAACUGUGGUAGGUGUAGUGAAAGACAACACUGACUGUGAUAGCUGGUUUUCUGCGAAACCUAUAAUAGUAGGCAAUUUAAGUAAAUAUCUUAGCAGGUACAGAAUUUAAUCUCAGACAAGGCGUGUAAGCGUUUUAUAUUGUAUAAAUUGGGGAAUCAUGAAGAUUUUAUCAGUGAGUAUGUAGACUCGGAAUGGCAAAGAUAUGUCUUAAAUUAUCAGACAUAGAAUGAUAAGGUUGUAUGUCGAAAGGGAAACAGCCCAGAACAAGAGUUAAGGUUCCUAAAUUAUUAGUUAAGUGAAAUUAAGAAGGUUUUUAUUAAAGUCGACAAGGAGAUAGGCUUAGAAGCAGCCAUAAUUUUAUGACCUCGUAACAGAGCGCUUGUUAAGUUAUAAAAGCAUCGAAAAUUUAACGGAUCUAAACAAUAUACCGAAACCUUGUCCAUAAUAUAUUAUAUUAAUUAUUUUUAAUGUAAUUUAAUGGGGUAGCAGAACGUUGAGCUAGAUUAUGAUUUCUAUUUUUUAAAUAGAAUUAUAUUAAUUUAACUCAAGUGAGAAUGGUGACAUGAGUAACGAAAAGAAAAUUUUCCGCCUUAAGCUUAUGGAUAUAAUUAAGUAACGGCCUCUAAGUUUAUAUUAUCUAAAGAUUUAAACGAUGAGUAAAUCUUUUUUACUAAGGACAACAUUUUAGUGUAAAAUGUGCUGGAAAAAUAGUAAAUAUAUUUGUUAUUUAUAACAAAUGAACAAUAACCGUACCUAGAAUCUGAAACAAGUAAGCUAGUAGAGAAUACGAAGGCGUAAAUGAGCUAACAAUCAUAAAGGAACUCGGCAAAUUGACUACCGUAACUUCGGAAUAAGGAGGGCUCAUUAUUCUUGAUUAAUAUCAAGUAAAGAGGAAGAAGCAUGAAAUAAUGUUGUACGACUGUUUAAUUAAAACACAGCACUUUGCUGAAAGAUUAAAAAUCUAUGUAUAAAGUGUGAUAUCUGCCCGGUGCCGGCUGGUUAACAGAGAUAAUUGAAUAUACUACUAUUUGAUGUCGACGGAAACCCCGGUUAAAGGCGGCCUUAACGUGAGGGUCCUAAGGUAGCGAAAUGCCUUGGCCGUUAAAUGCGGUCUUGCAUGAAUGGUGUAACGAUACAACAGCUGUCUCUAUGAUUGACUCAGUGAAAUUGGAAUAGCUGUGCAGAUACAGCUUACCUCUAGUUAGACGAGAAGACCCUAUGCAGCUUUACUGUCACUAAUUAUAGAGUAUGAUAGACAAUUUUCAGAAUAUAAGGUAAUUGACAAUAUGACAAUGAGAAUCCUUUAUUUUUCUUUCAUAUGAAUGAAUUGGUUUAGGAUUAUGAGUAGAUUGUAAUUAAUGUGGCUUAUUACUGAGUCAUUUAAAAACAUUAAUUAUAGUCUUUAAAUUAUUAUAUAGCUCAUUUUAGUAAAUCAGCCUAAUUCAACUUAUUAUUUUAGAAUAGUAAGUACCCUUUGGCAAGGAACUAUCGCUAGGGGACAGUUUAUGUGGGGCACAGACCCUGUAAAGAGUAAACAGGAGUGUCUAAUAAUUAUAAAUUAUUUUGUUUGCUAUUUUGAGUAGUUUAACUAUUUUUAAUCAUAUAUAAUUAUUUAUAUUUGCAUUUAUUGUAAAUAUAUUUAAGUUUAGGUAGGAUUUUUACUAUAUAGAAAUUAGAGAUAAUUGAAAAUAUUAUGAAUUUUUUCUAAUGUUUUUUAGCUAUCAUUUUUGAUAGUUAUGUAUUUAAUAUCUAAAAAGCUCAACGGCUAAAUCUUGCCUUACUGUUUGAUUAUCUACAAAUCUUACAGUUGCGUAAGCAGGGCAUAGGAUCACAAGAUGCAAUAAGGAAAGAUCUUGGAUUAUUGGAAAAGCUACGCUAGGGAUAACAGGCUAAUUUGCGCAAGAGUGUACAAAAUGAGUGCGCGGUUUGGCACCUCGAUGUCGGCUUAACUUAUCCUCAUGGACGCAGGAACUAUGUAGGGUGCGACUGUUCGUCGAUUAAAAAGUUACAUGAGCUGGGUUAAAUACGUCGUGAGACAGUAUGGUUUCUAUCUUCUAGGGGGAAUUAGAAUAAAAUAAGAACGAACUUUUGUACGCAAGGAACAAGAAGAGUUUAGCUCGUAAAAAAGGUUAAAAUAUAGUUACUAACCUAUGGUUUACCUGUUGUUUAUGUGCCCAAAUAUUAAAUAUAUAUGCUAUUGUAUAUAUAUAUAUGUAUUAUUAUACAUAGGGAUGUUUCUCUCACUAAGAUAAAUGUAUAGCAUAAGCACGGCAGGAACGCUAAGUUGGUUAAGGAUAAGUGCUGAAAGCAUAUAGGCACGAAGCUUAUCUUAAGAUAUUUCUUAAAUAUACGUAAUAUACUAUUACGAAAUUUAUAGGCUUUAUCCGUACGAAUCUAGAGAUUUUAAAGAAUAAAGUACUAAUUUAAUAAUUCACUAUUUAUAAAUAUAUCA
rnacentral:rRNA from 1 species